AUGAGACUCAUUUUUCAUCUACCAAGCGUUAUGGGAUGAAGCACCAGUCAUUAGAAAUGGAUUUUCCAUUCUGCAUCUUUUAUUGCCUGAUGGAUAAAUAAUUCUACAAGUUCUUCCGUGCUAUCCUUUGGAAACAAGAUGGGCUGUUGAAUCGUAAAGUCGGAUGAAGUUUUAACUGUUGCUGUGACUGACCUAAAGAGGAUUUGCCUCCACCAAUGCUACCCUGGAGGGAGGUCCCAACUAGGGUCCCAAAGAUAAUCCUGAGCAGGAGAUUACAUGAAUACCUCACGUCAUUGUGAUUCAGCAUUUUCAGGAAGAGCGCACCAUUGCACUAUUGAAAGUAUGGAACCUCCUGGAGUAGUUGGAGCUCACACUGAUAUAGGAAUCUGAUAAAAAAUAAAUUGAUGCUUCUUGUAUUUUGGUCAAGACUUACUGCUGUGACUUGUUCCCAUGAACCAACAUCCUCUUGUGAAGGAAGGGCCAAAGUUUCCUUUAUUCCCAAGAGAACUGAUUACAGUGACUGCUUCUAUUUUGCUCAUGUGGUGGGAUAUACUAUUGACACAGCUGUCUUAACCUAUGUGUGGCAAAAUAUUUGCUUACUAAAGACCAUUCCUCAUCACCAUUUUCCUUAGAGGAGCAUCAUGCAAAAAAGAGAAGCCCAUGGUAGUCAAGACUGUGGCAAUACUAUACUCCCCAUCAACAGCCAGAUGCAGCUAGAAGAAAACUUCCAAGAAGAGGCAGCAGAGUCUAUAAGAAGAUGUUGAACCUGUGUUGGGCAGCUGGUCUCAGCGGGGCCUGUAAGACAAGCAUCAAUUGCCAACCCUCGGCAUGUGGUUUAUUAUCACUCCAGAAGGGGAGAUGCCUUGGCUGUUAGUUCUCUCUGCACCUCAGGAACCCAGGACAGAGAAUGAGUGAAGAAACCGAGGUCUUCCACAGCCAGAGGGCAUGGGGAUGCUGGAACACCCAGAAAUGGAUUCUUCCUGUGAGUGACAUCACACAGUUGGAUUGGAAGUUUCCUGUUCCAUCUCCAGAGGAGAUGACAGAGUGUGGCUUUAAGGAGAUACUGGGUAGGAAUAAUAUAAUUGAUUUUGUUUGAUGGUAAUCUGAGGUUUCCCCUGGCAGAAAGAUGUACAAAAGUGUGCCGUAAUAUUUAAGAAGCACAUAAUGCUUUCUAUCUCAGAACCACACUGAGAGAUUUAAGCUUGAGGCUCCUAUGAGGAGAAAAGCUGCCUUCAAAGAUCUCAGCUCCUUUUUCACUUUUUAUGUUUUUCCAGCAAAGAGCUCAAACUUGGUACUUCUACAAAUGCAUAUUUGUUAGCUGUAUUGUGACACAAUGUUUCCCAAAUUCAACUAAGGAAAAUGCCCUUCAGUCCUGUAAUGUUAAUACUCUUUCCCUUUUUAUGGCACCCACCAUCCAUUACUACCCCUCAAUCUCAGCAGGGUUGAUUUAUUUUCCAGGGAUAUUUUCUCUCUUAGAUGACCACAGUUGAUGGUGGAUUAAUCCACUCACAUGAACUGUGCUAAAGUUUUAUAGGAAUUGUGGACAUUCUGGCAGGUAAGUAAUCAGAAACACCCUUUGGCUCCCCUCAACUACCAGGUGCAGACCUUGCCUCUUGGACUGAGAAGCCUUUCAGUGAGUCAGAAGAACAGGUAAUUGCAUUAAUCUUAUGUAAACCAGUCACCAGGAAACACUUGCUAUUUAUUCCACAAUCUAUUCUCCCUCUUUCAUCAUCACCAUUUGUGUUCCACCCAUACAGCAAAGCUCAUCUAAGAGAAAAAACAUUGCCAGCAGUAUUUACCUUCUGCUCAGCAUGAGAACGUUUGUCUUUGUGCAGUGAAUACGUCUAUUUAUAAGCAAACAGUAAUACUCUGGAAAGAAAAAUGAAGUAUG